rnacentral:misc_RNA from 1 species
UCUCCGUUGGUGAACCAGCGGAGGGAUCAUCACAGAGUUUUCACAACCCCCAACCCUUACGAACCGCACCCAUUCUGUUCUCGUUGCUUCCGGCGGCGCGGACGGGGGGGCCCGAAACGGCCUCCCCGCCCCGCCCGGCGGGGGCGGCGCGCCCUACGAACCUUUAUAUCUCAACCACCAGAAACCGUCUGAGAAAACAAACAAAAUAAUCAAAACUUUCAACAACGGAUCUCUUGGCUCUG